rnacentral:lncRNA from 1 species
GUUCCCCUGUGCUGUGCCCGUGGUGUCCCUGCGCCCGUGGUGUCCCUGUGCCACGCUGCGCCCUGGUGUCCUCGCCCCCGUCGUGUCCCCGUGCCGUGCCACCUCCUCCUCUCUCCCUGCAUCUUUGUGUCCACCGUGUCUCCGUGUCACCUCCCCCCCCAUGCCAUGCCCGUGGUGUCCCUGUGCCGUGCCACGUCCCCGUGCCACGCUGCAGCCUCAUGCCUAUUGCACCACCCUCCAUCCUCGUGCCCCGUGGCCUGUCCUCGUGUCCACCGCAUCCUCGUGUCCACCGCGUCCUCGUGCCCGUGAGGCCUUGGUGAACAGCCAGGAAUGGACCCUCGGCCGCUCCGUCCCCGAGAUCCGCCUGGUGGGUACCGUGUCCUGGUGGCCCUGCCCCGUGUCCUGGUGGCCCCCCAGCCGUGCUGAUGUCCCCUCUGUCCUCCCCCCAGGGCGUCCUGGGCAGCAGCAAGAGCGGGAAGUCGGCGCUCGUCCACCGCUUCCUCACCGGCUCCUACGUGGGGCUGGAGCCCACGGAGAGUGAGUGGCCGUGGGAUGGGGGCGGCUGCGGGGUGGGGGCUGCUGUAGGGUUGGCCAUGGCCAUGGGACACGUGUGGCCAUGAGGUGGCCGUGGCCAUGGGACAGACGUGGUGGCCAAGAGAGGGACAUGGCCAUGGGAUGGAUGUGGUGGCCAUGGGAUGGACGUGGCCAUGGGAUGGACGUGUCCGUGGGACAGGC